UACGGGGGGAGCAAGCGUUGUUCGGAUUUACUGGGCGUAAAGGGCGCGUAGGCGGCCACCGCAAGUCGACUGUGAAAUCUCCGGGCUUAACCCGGAAAGGUCAGCCGAUACUGCGGGGCUAGAGUGCAGAAGGGGCAACUGGAAUUCUCGGUGUAGCGGUGAAAUGCGUAGAUAUCGAGAGGAACACCUGCGGCGAAGGCGGGUUGCUGGGCUGACACUGACGCUGAUGUGGCGAAAGCUAGGGGAGCGAACGGG
rnacentral:rRNA from 1 species